rnacentral:rRNA from 1 species
GAUGUGUGGCGGAUGGGGCGUCCAGAGGAGUGUGACCCGCCAAAAGCUCAAAUUUGAAAUCCGGCACCUUCGGCGCCCGAGUUGUAAUUUGGAGAGGGCAACUUUGGGGCCGUUCCUUGUCUAUGUUCCUUGGAACAGGACGUCUUACAGGGUGAGAAUCCCGUGUGGCGAGGAGUGCGGUUCUUUGCAAAGUGCCCUCGAAGAGUCGAGUUGUUUGGGAAUGCAGCUCUAACUGGGUGGUAAAUUCUAUCUAAAGCUAAAUAUUGGCGAGAGACCGAUAGCGAACAAGCACAGUGAUGGAAAGAUGAAAAGAACUUUGAAAAGAGAGUGAAAAAGUACGUGAAAUUGUUGAAAGGGAAGGGCAUUUGAUCAGACAUGGUGUUUUGUGCCCUCUGCUCCUUGUGGGUAGGGGAAUCUCGCAUUUCACUGGGCCAGCAUCAGUUUUGGUGGCAGGAUAAAUCCAUAGGAAUGUAGCUUGCCUCGGUAAGUAUUAUAGCCUGUUGGAAUUCUUGCCUCUGGAAUUAAGGAUUGCACCAAAUUCAGGGUUGUGGGCAUAAGGAUUUUUUUCCCCCCCUUUUUGUAAUAUGAACUACU